UGGCUGAGUGGUAAAGCGCUUGGCAUCCGAACCGAGGGUUCUGGGUUCAAAUCCUGG
rnacentral:tRNA from 1 species